rnacentral:rRNA from 1 species
AUACGUAGGGGGCGAGCGUUGUCCGGAAUGACUGGGCGUAAAGGGCGCGUAGACGGCUUUUUAAGUCUGGAGUGAAAGUCCUGCUUUCAAGGUGGGAAUUGCUUUGGAGACUGGGGAGCUUGAGUGCGGAAGAGGUAAGUGGAAUUCCCAGUGUAGCGGUGAAAUGCGUAGAGAUUGGGAAGAACACCAGUGGCGAAGGCGACUUACUGGGCCGUAACUGACGUUGAUGCGCGAAAGCGUGGGGAGCGAACAGGAUUAGAUACCCUGGUAGUCCACGCUGUAAACGAUGAGUGCUAGGUGUAGCGGGUAUCGACCCCUGCUGUGCCGGAGUUAACACAAUAAGCACUCCGCCUGGGGAGUACGGCCGCAAGGUUGAA